rnacentral:rRNA from 1 species
UACAGAGGUCCCGAGCGUUGUUCGAAUUCACUGGGCGUAAAGGGUGCGUAGGCGGCUUUGCAAGUCUGAUGUGAAAUCUCCGGGCCCAACCCGGAAAUGGCAUUAGAAACUGUGAGGCUGGAGGCUUGGAGGGGGAACUGGAAUACUUGGUGUAGCAGUGAAAUGCGUAGAUAUCAAGUGGAACACCGGUGGCGAAGGCGAGUUCCUGGACAAGACCUGACGCUGAGGCACGAAAGCCGGGGAGCAAACAGG